rnacentral:hammerhead_ribozyme from 2 species
AAUCGAAACAAGCCUUAACCUUGGGGCUUGUCUAUCAGAGAUUGACUCCUGAUACUGAUGAGAUAGUCAAAA